rnacentral:rRNA from 1 species
UACAACUCUUAGCGGUGGAUCACUCGGCUCGUGCGUCGAUGAAGAACACAGCUAGCUGCGAGAACUAAUGUGAAUUGCAGGACACAUUGAUCAUCGACUCUUCGAACGCACCUUGCGGCCCCGGGUUCUUCCCGGGGCUACGCCUGUCUGAGGGUCGCUU